rnacentral:rRNA from 1 species
CCUGGUGACUAUACUGACGGGGAAACGCCUGAUCCCAUUCCGAACUCAGAAGCUAAGCCCG